rnacentral:lncRNA from 1 species
GGAACUGAAGAAGAGGGUCAAGUUUUCUUGAAGCCAUAUGAGACUGCUCAGGCUCUGGUCAUCGGUAAGAGUGUGGCUUAUAUAUAUAACGUGGACAAUAUAUCCUUACUGUUAAGGCUAAAUGAUUUAAUGUUUAAAAAUCUGCAGCGUUUGUGAAAUCGAACCGUAAUCUAGUCGUCACGAUCCAUGAAAGAGCUGUUCUGAGUCCUUGUGGAGUGCCCUACUACACAAGCAUCAAGAUCAAUUGCGAGGUGAGCUGAACAAACGAGGUUCCUUCGCUCGUCAACUCCUCGAAAAAGUUAGAGCAAGGAUGACAACAGAGGCUGACCAAUAGCAGAAAUGCAACUCUAUUUCAGCUGCUGCUGGUGCAGUUCUUUCCU